GCUCGAUUGGCCUAGAUAGUGGUUAGAGCGUCGUGUAUGACCCCGGGAGGGCUCCAAACUAUUACACGAAGACACAGGUUCGACCCCUGUAUCGGGC